rnacentral:misc_RNA from 1 species
AAAAUACAAUAAGUAGUGUGAAUUGCAGAAUUCAGUAAAUCAUCGAAUCUUUAAACGCACAUUGCGCCCUUUAGUAUUCCUUAGGGCAUGCCUGUUUGAGCGUCAUUUAAACCUUCAAGCCCUGCUUAGUGUUGGGUGCCUGUCCCGCCCCCGCGCGUGGACUCACCUCAAAUCCAUUGGCGGCCCCCACGUCAGCUACGAGCGCAGCAGAAACGCGAACUCGUGGGCCUGAUGGGGCGGCUCCCAGAAGCCACAUUCACCAUUUUGACCUUAGAUCAGGUAGGGAUACCCGCUGAACUUAA